AAAAAUAUAAGUAGAUAUAUUUGUUAUAGAGACCACAUACGAACAGAAUAGCGUUCAUCAUCAGCUUCAGAAACUUCCAACACGGAAAAUGGCCACUAAACCUAACAAAAUUCCACAACUCUAGGCGUUAAUUUCGUAAUACCUGCAGGAGAAACUAGAGCAGUUAUAGAAGCACUUGGCGCUCGCAAGUAGAGAAAGAAGAAGCAGAGGGCUUCGACGUGAAGAACACUUGGUCAUGGCUGACAUUCCGAUCAGUUUCACAGCCGGUUUCUCGGGGCUAAGCUCUGGGCGUGGAGCCAAAGUUGCAAUGGAAGCAGCAACCGCCCGGCCGCCUUGUGGCGCAGGUUGGGACACCGUGGGAUUUACCUGGCGCAAGCAGCUUCCCACCGGAGGCGCCUUGAAUGCUGGAGUGGUUUGCUCGCGUAAGGCGAACCCACAGGAGGCGGAGCUCCCUACCAUCUACGAGGACGUCGGCCAUAGGGAGCGUGGCCGAUCAGCGAGAAGCACCACCGGCCGUACAGACGAGUGCAACCAAGAAGGCCACAUGAGCCGAGACUGUCCCACUGCUCACUGUGGAGGACGACGCGGAGGCCUCAGGUCUGGCGAGGAAGGCCACAUGAGCAGAGACUGAAUGCAGACACGUGGGCGCGACACACCCAGAUGUGGGUCACUACGGUUGGCGUGCGGCCAGAUUACGUGUUUUGUGUGUAUUUUGUCGUUUAUUAGAUCGUUCUAUAUAGAAAUAAGAAAUUCUAAAAUUUCUACUUUUUUGAUGAUUAGAAUAAUAAAUAUUUUCUUCCACCCUCUA